rnacentral:misc_RNA from 1 species
UCAACCCUCAAGCUCGGCUUGGUGUUGGGUCCCACCGCUGAGACAUUCGGUGGACCCGAAAGAUAAUGGCAGAGCCCGUGGGGACGCUGGAUGCAACGAGCUUUUCAGCACGCGUCUGGACGUCCUCCGGCCCGGUCUUACCAAAUCUACUUCUCA